GGGGGGAAGUUCGUUGUAGAUGGCUUAGUGCCUUCGGGAACCGUGAGACAGGUGCUGCAUGGCUGUCGUCAGCUCGUGUUGUGAAAUGUUGGGUUAAGUCCCGCAACGAGCGCAACCCUUAUCCUUUGUUGCCAGCACGUAAUGGUGGGAACUCAAAGGAGACUGCCGGUGAUAAACCGGAGGAAGGUGGGGAUGACGUCAAGUCAUCAUGGCCCUUACGAGUAGGGCUACACACGUGCUACAAUGGCAUAUACAAAGAGAAGCGAACUCGCGAGAGCAAGCGGACCUCAUAAAGUAUGUCGUAGUCCGGAUUGGAGUCUGCAACUCGACUCCAUGAAGUCGGAAUCGCUAGUAAUCGUAGAUCAAAAUGCUACGGUGAAUACGUUCCCGGGUCUUGUACACACCGA
rnacentral:rRNA from 1 species